CCUGACUUUAGUAACAGUGAUCUGUUUUCAUAUUCUGCAUACAGAGAUCAAGGACCAAGAUGAGAGGUUGCAAUGGAUAAGUGUGAAUUUGAAGCUUAAUUUUGGGUAGAAGUGUGUGGAUGCUAACUCUGAAACAGAGAGCCUGUAGAAAUUACAGGCCACAUAGCUUUCUCAGUCCAGGCUGAGAAAGUAGCCUGGGAAUUCAUAAGGAGGAUUUAAAACAAUCCUCAAAGACAGCAGACAGCCUUGCAGUUGCUGUUUGUCUGUCCCUUGUUUUCUUUGCAGGAGAAGGUCAGGGGGUAGUGUGCCCCACUGACCAAUGAUGGUGAUGUAGCACUUUGCUAACCAAUAAGAGUUUCCUUUCUGUACUUUCCACGUAUCGGUCUAUAAAACAGACCUGAAGUAAUAAACUACGAAAAAUUCUCCUGAUCAACUCCAUGAGAGUCUGUGUCGCUUCUUCUCGCCAUUCCUGAUAGAGUGACAGAAGUGUACUGUGAGGGAAAGAUUUGUGUAAAGCAUUUUGCGGAAAAAGCAAACAGCUAAUCUCAUGUAGAAUAACUAAGGGGCUGCUUUAUCUUUUGUUAUUCCUCAAUAGUUCAUUACUAUUACUUAUGGAAAUAAUGUAGCUAAGACAUGCAAAUUUGAACACAUUUAUGCCUUUAAUAUCACCCUCACUUUUGAAGGCUAUGUUAUUAUACUAUCUUCUUGGUUAUUUUUUUCAUAACUCCUUUUGUUUGAGUUAAGAUUUCUCUAGCACAGGCCUGCUCAGAGAAAAAGUGAAAUUGUAAAUUUUAGCAAAUUGAUGAGUAAUGGUUAUGGUGUGACUGGUUUCAGCAGUGUACUGGAUGGGAAAAAAGACUGAAGAAAUGUCAGAAAAUAGUGAGCACUCUGAAGGUAACAUUAUUGAAAGCUGCUUCUUCUAAAAUAAGCUGGACUCUCAAGGUAACAGCAGAGGGCAGCCUCAGUAUUUGUGCAGCUCUCUGAAUAAGGUGACUGCUGAAGAUAGUGGUUUUACUUUUUUCCCCACCUGUGUACUUACUUCAUCCAAAGCAAUUGGUAGCAUGAGCACCUUGCAGCUCCCUCUUGAGAUGGAGCUUUCUCUGUUCUCACUUGAACAGAAUAAGUCCUAGACACAUCAGGCAGGAGCCAUUCCAUAUGUAAAUCCAUAAUCUCUUUGUUUUGGGAUACAGAUCUGCAUCAUACUACAAAUUUCUUAGGUAGCAUGUUUAUCUUGUUAAUUCAAAAUGAAAAGUAGUGGAAUUUAUAUGUAUUUUGCCAUGAGAAAGAAACAAAAAAUUUUAGCUGACCUU
rnacentral:lncRNA from 1 species